GCUGGGCUCCAUGGCGCGUGCCUGUAGGCCCAGCUACAUGGGAGGCUGAGGUGGGAGAUCACUUGAGCCCAGGAGUUCUGGGCUGUAGUGUGCUAUGCCAUCGGGUGUCUGCACUAAGUUUGGCAUCAAUAUGGUGACCUCCUGGGAGAGGGGGACCACCAGAUUGCCUAAGGAGGGAUGAACCAGCCCAGGUUGGAAUCGGAGCAGGCCAAAACUUCCGUGCUGAUCAGUAGUGGGAUCAUGCCUGUGAAUAGCCACUGCACUCCAGCCUGGGCAACAUAGCGAGACCCUGUCUCU
rnacentral:SRP_RNA from 1 species